rnacentral:rRNA from 1 species
UUGUCGUCAGCUCGUGUCGUGAGAUGUUGGGUUAAGUCCCGCAAACGAGCGCAACCCUUGAUCUUAGUUGCCAGCAUUCAGUUGGGCACUCUAAGGUGACUGCCGGUGACAAACCGGAGGAAGGUGGGGAUGACGUCAAAUCAUCAUGCCCCUUAUGACCUGGGCUACACACGUGCUACAAUGGGCAGAACAAAGGGCAGCGAAGCCGCGAGGCUAAGCCAAUCCCACAAAUCUGUUCUCAGUUCGGAUCGCAGUCUGCAACUCGACUGCGUGAAGCUGGAAUCGCUAGUAAUCGCGGAUCAGCAUGCCGCGGUGAAUACGUUCCCGGGCCUUGUACACACCGCCCGUCACACCACGAGAGUUUGUAACACCCGAAGUCGGUGAGGUAACCUUGGAGCCAGCCGCCGAAG